rnacentral:rRNA from 1 species
GCUCAGUAACACGUGGAUAACCUACCCUUAGGACCGGGAUAACCCUGGGAAACUGGGGCUAAUACUGGAUAGAUGAUUUUUCCUGGAAUGGUUUUUUGUUUAAAUGUUUUUUCGCCUAAGGAUGGGUCUGCGGCAGAUUAGGUAGUUGGUUAGGUAAUGGCUUACCAAGCCGUUGAUCGGUACGGGUUGUGAGAGCAAGAGCCCGGAGAUGGAACCUGAGACAAGGUUCCAGGCCCUACGGGGUGCAGCAGGCGCGAAACCUCCGCAAUGUGAGAAAUCGCGACGGGGGGAUCCCAAGUGCCAUUCUUAACGGGAUGGCUUUUCAUUAGUGUAAAGAGCUUUUGGAAUAAGGGCUGGGCAAGACCGGUGCCAGCCGCCGCGGUAACACCGGCAGCUCUAGUGGUAGCAGUUUUUAUUGGGCCUAAAGCGUCCGUAGCCGGUUUAAUAAGUCUCUGGUGAAAUCCUGUAGCUUAACUGUGGGAAUUGCUGGAGAUACUAUUAGACUUGAGACCGGGAGAGGUUAGAGGUACUCCUAGGGUAGAGGUGAAAUUCUGUAAUCCUGGGAGGACCGCCUGUUGCGAAGGCGUCUAACUGGAACGGUUCUGACGGUGAGGGACGAAAGUUAGGGGCGCGAACCGGAUUAGAUACCCGGGUAGUCCUAACCGUAAACGAUGCGGACUUGGUGUUGGGGUGGCUUUGAGCUGCUCCAGUGCCGAAGGAAAGCUGUUAAGUCCGCCGCCUGGAAGUACGGUCGCAAGACUGAAACUUAAAGGAAUUGG